CAAAAUACCCUCAACAACCAAAAGAACCUUCAACUGAAGAAACAACAAAAAAAGACUAAAAACCAUUAAAAAAAAAAAAUAACCAAACUGCUCUUGCUGGAACAAAAGCGGCUUUUUUUUUUUUUUUUUUUUUUU
rnacentral:ribozyme from 1 species